rnacentral:rRNA from 1 species
GAACUGAAACAUCUAAGUACCCCGAGGAAAAGAAAUCAACCGAGAUUCCCCCAGUAGCGGCGAGCGAACGGGGAGCAGCCCAGAGCCUGAAUCAGUAUGUGUGUUAGUGGAAGCGUCUGGAAAGGCGCGCGAUACAGGGUGACAGCCCCGUACACAAAAAUGCACAUGCUGUGAGCUCGAUGAGUAGGGCGGGACACGUGGUAUCCUGUCUGAAUAUGGGGGGACCAUCCUCCAAGGCUAAAUACUCCUGACUGACCGAUAGUGAACCAGUACCGUGAGGGAAAGGCGAAAAGAACCCCGGCGAGGGGAGUGAAAAAGAACCUGAAACCGUGUACGUACAAGCAGUGGGAGCACGCUUAGGCGUGUGACUGCGUACCUUUUGUAUAAUGGGUCAGCGACUUAUAUUCUGUAGCAAGGUUAACCGAAUAGGGGAGCCGAAGGGAAACCGAGUCUUAACUGGGCGUUAAGUUGCAGGGUAUAGACCCGAAACCCGGUGAUCUAGCCAUGGGCAGGUUGAAGGUUGGGUAACACUAACUGGAGGACCGAACCGACUAAUGUUGAAAAAUUAGCGGAUGACUUGUGGCUGGGGGUGAAAGGCCAAUCAAACCGGGAGAUAGCUGGUUCUCCCCGAAAGCUAUUUAGGUAGCGCCUCGUGAAUUCAUCUCCGGGGGUAGAGCACUGUUUCGGCAAGGGGGUCAUCCCGACUUACCAACCCGAUGCAAACUGCGAAUACCGGAGAAUGUUAUCACGGGAGACACACGGCGGGUGCUAACGUCCGUCGUGAAGAGGGAAACAACCCAGACCGCCAGCUAAGGUCCCAAAGUCAUGGUUAAGUGGGAAACGAUGUGGGAAGGCCCAGACAGCCAGGAUGUUGGCUUAGAAGCAGCCAUCAUUUAAAGAAAGCGUAAUAGCUCACUGGUCGAGUCGGCCUGCGCGGAAGAUGUAACGGGGCUAAACCAUGCACCGAAGCUGCGGCAGCGACACUAUGUGUUGUUGGGUAGGGGAGCGUUCUGUAAGCCUGUGAAGGUGUACUGUGAGGUAUGCUGGAGGUAUCAGAAGUGCGAAUGCUGACAUAAGUAACGAUAAAGCGGGUGAAAAGCCCGCUCGCCGGAAGACCAAGGGUUCCUGUCCAACGUUAAUCGGGGCAGGGUGAGUCGACCCCUAAGGCGAGGCCGAAAGGCGUAGUCGAUGGGAAACAGGUUAAUAUUCCUGUACUUGGUGUUACUGCGAAGGGGGGACGGAGAAGGCUAUGUUGGCCGGGCGACGGUUGUCCCGGUUUAAGCGUGUAGGCUGGUUUUCCAGGCAAAUCCGGAAAAUCAAGGCUGAGGCGUGAUGACGAGGCACUACGGUGCUGAAGCAACAAAUGCCCUGCUUCCAGGAAAAGCCUCUAAGCAUCAGGUAACAUCAAAUCGUACCCCAAACCGACACAGGUGGUCAGGUAGAGAAUACCAAGGCGCUUGAGAGAACUCGGGUGAAGGAACUAGGCAAAAUGGUGCCGUAACUUCGGGAGAAGGCACGCUGAUAUGUAGGUGAAGUCCCUCGCGGAUGGAGCUGAAAUCAGUCGAAGAUACCAGCUGGCUGCAACUGUUUAUUAAAAACACAGCACUGUGCAAACACGAAAGUGGACGUAUACGGUGUGACGCCUGCCCGGUGCCGGAAGGUUAAUUGAUGGGGUUAGCGCAAGCGAAGCUCUUGAUCGAAGCCCCGGUAAACGGCGGCCGUAACUAUAACGGUCCUAAGGUAGCGAAAUUCCUUGUCGGGUAAGUUCCGACCUGCACGAAUGGCGUAAUGAUGGCCAGGCUGUCUCCACCCGAGACUCAGUGAAAUUGAACUCGCUGUGAAGAUGCAGUGUACCCGCGGCAAGACGGAAAGACCCCGUGAACCUUUACUAUAGCUUGACACUGAACAUUGAGCCUUGAUGUGUAGGAUAGGUGGGAGGCUUUGAAGUGUGGACGCCAGUCUGCAUGGAGCCGACCUUGAAAUACCACCCUUUAAUGUUUGAUGUUCUAACGUUGACCCGUGAUCCGGGUUGCGGACAGUGUCUGGUGGGUAGUUUGACUGGGGCGGUCUCCUCCUAAAGAGUAACGGAGGAGCACGAAGGUUGGCUAAUCCUGGUCGGACAUCAGGAGGUUAGUGCAAUGGCAUAAGCCAGCUUGACUGCGAGCGUGACGGCGCGAGCAGGUGCGAAAGCAGGUCAUAGUGAUCCGGUGGUUCUGAAUGGAAGGGCCAUCGCUCAACGGAUAAAAGGUACUCCGGGGAUAACAGGCUGAUACCGCCCAAGAGUUCAUAUCGACGGCGGUGUUUGGCACCUCGAUGUCGGCUCAUCACAUCCUGGGGCUGAAGUAGGUCCCAAGGGUAUGGCUGUUCGCCAUUUAAAGUGGUACGCGAGCUGGGUUUAGAACGUCGUGAGACAGUUCGGUCCCUAUCUGCCGUGGGCGCUGGAGAACUGAGGGGGGCUGCUCCUAGUACGAGAGGACCGGAGUGGACGCAUCACUGGUGUUCGGGUUGUCAUGCCAAUGGCACUGCCCGGUAGCUAAAUGCGGAAGAGAUAAGUGCUGAAAGCAUCUAAGCACGAAACUUGCC